rnacentral:tRNA from 1 species
GGGCGACUAGCUCAGUUGGCUAGAGCACCAGCUCGACAAGCUGGGGGUCACUGGUUCGAGCCCAGUGUCGCCCACCA